rnacentral:rRNA from 1 species
AGGAUUAGAUACCCUAGUAUAUUAACAAAUUUAAGAUUAGUAUAUCAUUGAAAUUUAAUAAUUUUGGUGGUUAAAUUAUUUGAUUAGAGAGGCUUGUUCAUUUAUAGAAUUAACUCUUUAUAUUUUAUUAAUAAAUAUUUUUAUUCAUCUCCGUUAUAAAUAAAAGGUUUAAAAUUAAACUGGAAGAGUAGAAUUUCAGGUCAAGAUGUAGUUUUUAUUAGAAGGGAUUAGCUGAAAUUAUGGAAUAAAUGGAGAUGUCAAAAGGAAGAUUAAGUUUAAUUUAAUUUAAUUGUAAUAUGAAUUAGAAAAUUUAUAUGAAAUUUAUGUGAUUAAUAUACAUAUUGCCCGUCACUUCUGUGUGGAUUAUAGAAUAAGUCGUAACAAA